CCCUUAGAUGUUCUGGGCGGCCCGCGCACUACAUUGGCACUAGCAAAGAGAUCCUAGAUUGAAUUCUUUGGGGUAUUCUUCUAAAUGGUGUCGUGACUGGGAUAAAUCCUUGUAAUUAUUGGUUUUGAACGAGGAAUUCCUUGUAAUCGCGGUUUAUCAGCUCGCGUUGAAUGCGUCCCUGCCCUUUGUACACACCGCCCGUCGCUCCUACCGAUGGAUCGUCCGGUGAAGCUCACGGAGUGACUGUUCACGCAACGGUUUACGAAGUGAAAUGGACCCCACGAUUUAGAGGAAGGAGAAGUCGUAACA
rnacentral:rRNA from 1 species